rnacentral:rRNA from 1 species
UACGUAGGUGGCAAGCGUUGUCCGGAUUUACUGGGCGUAAAGAGCGCGCAGGCGGUCUUGUAAGUCGAAUGUGAAAGCCCCUGGCUCAACUGGGGAGGGUCAUUCGAUACUGCUCGACUCGAAGGCAGGAGAGGGAAGCGGAAUUCCCGGUGUAGUGGUGAAAUGCGUAGAUAUCGGGAGGAACACCAGUGGCGAAGGCGGCUUUCUGGCCUGUUCUUGACGCUGAGGCGCGAAAGCUAGGGGAGCAAACGGGG